rnacentral:rRNA from 1 species
GUCAAAUGCUUCUUUUCUUAAGGACAAGCUGUGAUGGGGAGGGAAAUAAUAGUACCGAAGUUCCUGAUGUCACACUGCCGAGAAAAGCUUCUAGUGAGAAAACAGCGGCCCGUACCGCAAACCGACACAGGUAGUCGAGGAGAGAAUCCUAAGGUGAGCGAGAGAACUCUCGUUAAGGAACUCGGCAAAAUGACCCCGUAACUUCGGGAGAAGGGGUGCUGAUCAUACGAUCAGCCGCAGUGAAUAGGCCCAAGCGACUGUUUAUCAAAAACACAGGUCUCUGCAAAAUCGUAAGAUGAAGUAUAGGGGCUGACGCCUGCCCGGUGCUGGAAGGUUAAGAGGAGUGCUUAGCGCAAGCGAAGGUACGAAUUGAAGCCCCAGUAAACGGCGGCCGUAACUAUAACGGUCCUAAGGUAGCGAAAUUCCUUGUCGGGUAAGUUCCGACCCGCACGAAAGGCGUAACGAUUUGGGCACUGUCUCAACGAGAGACUCGGUGAAAUUUUAGUACCUGUGAAGAUGCAGGUUACCCGCGACAGGACGGAAAGACCCCAUGGAGCUUUACUGUAGUUUGAUAUUGAGUGUCUGUACCGCAUGUACAGGAUAGGUAGGAGCCGUAGAAAUCGGAACGCUAGUUUCGAUGGAGGCGC